UACGUAGGGGGCAAGCGUUGUCCGGAUUUAUUGGGCGUAAAGAGCGUGUAGGCGGCCAGGUAGGUCAGCUGUGAAAACUCGAGGCUCAACCUCGAGACGUCGGUUGAAACCACCUGGCUAGAGUCCGGAAGAGGAGAGUGGAAUUCCUGGUGUAGCGGUGAAAUGCGCAGAUAUCAGGAGGAACACCGGUGGCGAAGGCGGAUCUCUGGGCCAUUACUGACGCUGAGGAGCGAAAGCGUGGGGAGCAAACAGG
rnacentral:rRNA from 1 species